rnacentral:rRNA from 1 species
AUUGGACGCUGGCGGAAUGCUUUACACAUGCAAGUCGAGCGGCAGCGCGGGGCAACCUGGCGGCGAGCGGCGAACGGGUGAGUAAUGCAUCGGAACAUGUCCAUGUCGUGGGGAGUAGCCCGGCCGAAAGACCGGAUUAAUAACCGCAUACGCCCGACGAGGGGAAAGGUAGGGGACCGGCAAGGCCUCACGCGAUUGGUUGGCCGAUGUCCGAUUAGCUAGUUGGCGGGGUAAGUGGCCCACCAAGGCGAUGAUCGGUAGCUGGUCUGAGAGGAUGAUCAGCCACACUGGGACUGAGACACGGCCCAGACUCCUACGGGAGGCAGCAGUGGGGAAUUUUGGACAAUGGGGGCGAACCCUGAUCAGCCAUUCCGCGUGAGUGAAGAAGGCCUCGGUU